rnacentral:rRNA from 1 species
UACGUACUGCGCGAACGUUAUUCGGAAUCACUGGGCUUACAGGGUGCGUAGGCGGCUUUUCAGGUCUGGUGUGAAAUCCCCCGGCUCAACCGGGGAAUGGCAUUGGAAACCGAAAAGCUCGAGGUAGCUAGAGGCAUGCGGAACUUCCGGUGGAGCGGUGAAAUGUGUUGAGAUCGGAAGGAACACCAGAGGCGAAGGCGGCAUGCUGGGGCUAUUCUGACGCUGAGGCACGAAAGCCAGGGGAGCGAACGGG